rnacentral:lncRNA from 1 species
ACUUACUGUGGGCAGUAAGGAAGGGAGGAGUCCUCUGCGCCUCAUCUAUCACCAGUGUGUGACGGGGAAGACAACACAGAAAUUGAAGGUGAUGUGCAACUAGCUGGCUUAUGUAAUGAAAAGACCCUGCAAAUUCAAAGCAUGGACCCACGCUAAAAGACUGCUCUCACAUCAAAAACUGGUGACAAAUGAAAAUAAAUGGAAGAAGACCACAGGGAUGUGAAAAAAAUAUAAUCAAUUAAGAUGUGCAUGGAAUCAUGGGCGUCAUGGAAGACUGUCUUAAGGAACCAGCAUUAGAACUGAAACCUAAGUUUUUGAGGAACAAUGAUAAGAUACUUAAUAUUCCCAGAGAGAGGGAGAGAAAGGAGGAAGAGAAGAAAGAAAACAAGUUGCAGACAAAGCCUUGCAAACCAGAAUGAUGACAACAACCUUAGAAGCUAGAAGGUAGAGAAGAACUACCUGCCAUGUUCUGAGGGUGAACUAUUGCCCAUCUAGAGUAUUAUACCACAGCAAAUCAUUCACCAAGUGUUAGGAGAGAAGAAAAUACUUUUUCAGACAUACACAGUCUCAAAAAUUUUAGCUCCCAAUCACUAUUUCUCAGGAAAUGUCAGCCUUAUUCGUGUAUAGAAAGAUUGAGUAUUGUUAAAAAUAUAAUUUAUCCCCUAUAAAAUAUAGUAUAUAUUUACUCCUAAUUUCCUAUCAGAUGUUUCAUGGGACUUCACAAGCUUAUAUUUAGAUAAAUGCGAAGAUGUAAAUGGAUAAAAAUAGACAAGAAGAUUGCAAGGUAAAAUGUUAAGAAGAUGUAUUAGAACAAAUUUAAAGAUUUCUCAUAAUGGCAUGGAAUUUAAACAUUGUAGCAUUGAUAGAGAAUUAUACAAGUAAACCAAUAGAAUAAUUCAGAGAUCCUGGGAACAGAGCCCUAUACAUACGCAAACUUAGCAUACGAUCAAUCUUUUAUUAGAUAUAAGUAGGAAAAAAUGGUCCAUAUGGCACAGAGGACAUCAAAAUUCCUCGGUUGCAUAUCCUCUUAAAUAUAUUUCUAAAAUAUAAUCUCACUUAGACAUUUAUUUUUACCCUAAUUUGUAAAACUUGCAACUUCUGUAUAUUUAAAUAUUGACAUUUUAAUGAAAACCAUUAUAAGAUUAUUAUAUAUUGCAACAGUUUGUAAAAUAUAUCUAAUAGAUGUAAAUACCAUUACAAAUGAUAUCUACCAGCAUCCACUUAAAAAAUUCAUAAACAUGCUUUUGAACAUUUUAAAAUUUUUUAUUUUCCCUUUUUUCUCUUUGAAUUCAUAUCUGCGUUCCACUUUCCAUGAAGAAUUUUUCCCAAUUUACUACAUUUUAUGCUUGAAAAUUAUUUAUUGAUUGCUCUAUUUUUCUUUUAUAGAAUAUGUAUAAAAUUGACAUUUUAACAUGUUUUAUUUCCUAUGACAUUAAAGAUCUAAGUGUUCAAAUAUUCA